UCUCUUCCCACAAGCCAACAGUUCCAAAGCCGUGAGAUUUCUGCUUCUGCCAACCUAGAGCUGAACGGUGCACCAUCUCAGUGACAGCUUCCUUGCAGGCUGACCUACUUUGACCAAUGACUUUCAGGAUUGUCCUCCUCCAAGCCAACUGCCACAUGUGAACGCUAGCCUGCUGGAAAGGGCACACGGAGAAUAGUGGUGUCAUGAGUGAUAGCCCCAACCAGUGACCAGUUGAGUGAUGGAAGCCACCUUCCACAGGCAAGCCAAUGAACCAAAAAUUUGAUUCUGCUCCUAGAAUUGCCAGGAACACGUCACCUCCUUAGCAGGUGCUCGGAACAUAUUUGGAAGAUGAGUCCCCUCGUAUCAGUGCACAUUCCUCAGCAAAAAGUCACAGGCUGCAAAACUUCAAAAAAAAAAAAAAAGCAGGAAAACGGUGUAUGUGCUUCAGAGAGCCACCCACUGUGCCAAGCACGGCGACGUAAGCCGUCUCAUUUGAACCUCCUCACAACAGGAUGGGAACUGCAUAAUCUGGGCACAGUGCCCCAUGCCUGUGCCCUAGCACUCAGCGAGUUGAGGAAGGAAGACCAGAAGGUACAGGGUCAUUCUCGGCCAUAUUUGCGGUUUGCGGCCAGCCUGGGAGACCCAGACUUGGGCUAGUGAAGAACUGUGGAUAUGAACUGCAGGAUUGCUGUAAGGAACAGCUGACACCCUGAACUCUGCACGGAGAACGCUGUAGUGAGAGAACUGUCGGGGAGAGAGGAACAUGGUACCAAAGUAGGAAUGGGUGAGGCUCUGUGUGCCCACAGGACAUGUCCUUUCAUGGGUUGUGGGUCAGGUUCAGCCACAGUGUGAUUGCUCAGCUGAUGUGUGUAUGCUAAAGGGCAGGGUCCAUGCAUUAGGAGUGGCUGGGCUGGGCUGGUGUGGUGUGCUGUGUUUCCCGUGGGGAUGGCGGUGAUUCAUUACCCUUCCCAGCCCGCUCAGCUUCUAUCAGGGUUCAACUUGUAGUAAACAAGUCAGAAAAUGCCAUCUGGGUGAGAAAGAGACGGGGGGGGGGGGGGGGGCGGGGAGCUUCCGAGGUGACCCUCAGUGUCCUGUCAGCCCCAAAUCUUCCUGGAAACUACACACUGGAUCCACAGAGCUCAGAAUCUCUCUCACCAAUGGCAGAAAACCCUUCUUCACCCAAUUUCCGAUCUUUUUUUUUUUUUCUGGAAUGUUCUAGAAACUCUACUCUCCUGGGAUGAUUCUGAGAUAUAACCACUCCAGCUUGCGCUGGGGGUGGGAGUGGGGGUGGGUGUUCUGCUGCCCAGAGGAUAUCUGUUGGGGUGCUUCUGGGAGGUGUGCAUCAAUAAAUCAACCUGUGCAUGCUAUUAAUCAACAGUUUCCCUGAAGUCUGGCCAGCGAAAUUCAGGCUUGUUGUCUAAGUGAGUAGGUCUGACGUUCUCGGAGCAGAGAACACAGGAGACACAGUUCAGCCCGCAAGAUGAAUAAAACCACAAUCACAACAAGAGCACAACUAGAGGAACGAUUAAUUGUCAGAUUGUGAGAGUCUCCCUUGGUUCACCAGGGCUUUCAAAAGGACAGGUAAGACUAGCCAGUUUGCCCCAAAAAUAGGCCAAACGAGACUGGAAGGGCUUGAGCACUAGAAGUUCAAGGCUCUGACCCUGGGAGGCUGAGGCUAAGAUGGUUCUAGGACUGGUUCCCUCUGAGGCUGUGAGCAAGACUGUUUAACUCCUGUCUCGCUUCUGCUGGCGACUAGCAUUUGUUUGUGUCUGCUAGUCUCUACCGUUGAAACAACCACAUCUGCACAGACCCCGUUCCAAGCAAGGUUGCAUUCUGAGGUACGGAGGUCUAGGAGUUCAAUCCAUGAAUUAUGGAUGGCGACACAUAAUUUAACCCAUAGCAUAACCAGAAGCGGGUUCCACAUAUGGAUCACGCACAGGAUCUUCUUUUGCCAGUCCACACAGAUCGCCAACGAGUCUUCCCGAAAACGACUUGCACUCCCCCGGCCCCGCCCUUCGAGGUGGUAGCCGGCCUCACCUUAUCUUACUUGCAACUCAGGUGUGACUGGCCCCACCCUGGGUAAGAGGUUACUGUGAGCAACCAACACUGGGAGAUCAUGGAGGAAUGGGGCCAAGAAGGGACCUCAGGAUAAAAAUAGCUCCAGCAGUAGGGGUAGGUGGCGUGUGACCAGAUGACCUUUGCCCUUUGAGACUUUGAAAGUCACCAGGUUGGGAUGACUCAGCUCUCCGCUCAUCACCUUGGGGAAGAGUGACCGUACAUGGGGGGGGCGGGUCACUUCUCUUUUCCUUCCUCCCCUGGCAGCUCUUCUGGAGCUUCCAGAAGCCUGAAGAGGAUCCCAUGACGACACUGAUGUAAUCCUGUGUGCCCUGUAAAAGGGGGGUGGUGGAUCAGAACUGAACUGUCUUUCAAAGCAGGCUUUGGACUGAGCGCUCUGGACCCAUUAAUGCAAGGUCUGACUCUUCCAGACUGAGAGACUGCUGAAGGAAGAAGCAGUGACCCACGGCUGAGUACAGUGGCCAGGGUUCCAGGGUACACAUCUGUCAAUUCACCCCUCUGGAGGCAUGGGCUGCUGGAAGUGAGUUCCGUGAGAAACUGUUUGGUAUAAUCCGUGAAUACUGAGAGAACUGUAGGCUGUCUGUGGGGAAGAGGGAGCAGGUGUUGCCCUCUCGCCUGUGAAUCACUAGGGAGGUGAAAGAGUUCAUACAGCCAACCAGGAAGCAGUCACUCUGACAAGCCAAGCGAAGAGAUGUUUGGCCACCUGCAUCUGACUUCUAGAUCGGCUUCUGUUCUUGGGACCAGCAAUGCUUGAAUGAAAAGCUCUGCUGAUUGCCUGCUGCAGAGAAGCCUGGACCCACAGGGCACCGGGCAUGAAGGAAAGCAAGCGGUUCCGUGUUGAAGGCAAGGGUCUCUGUCCUGCAGCAGUGAACUUCCUGCCUUUGAACCCACUCACCACACUCCCUUUACGGAUCUCAGGGAAACCCCAGAGCCACGGUGCAACCCCUCCUCACCCACAUAGGCCCGCUCCCUGGCCCAGGUACGCGUUGGCUUCUUACUGGGACUUGAAGCAGCACACGUGGGCUCUGGUUCUCACCCACCACUCUCAUCAGGCGGGGCUUCCCCAGAACAAAGGGUGCCAUCUGCUCAAGGACAAACCCAGACUUCAUUUCUGUUGGUAUCUUCUUUCACCAUCUUUCCUUCCUUAGGCUGUAUUUUAAAUAUUCUCAGUCAUCCUAUCAGACG
rnacentral:lncRNA from 1 species